UUUGCUCAGAUUCAAUGGAUGAACAUUGCAUUUCAAUAGGCCAUAUAAUUUCACUUUACUAGACCAUUUCACUCUACAAAAUCUUUCUCUUCGAUUUUUCACUCCACCUCAAUACUUUGAGAUCCCCACUUCUUUUCCAUCUCCAUUAUUUUUCUUACUCUUAAUACAAAUAUAUAUCAAUACUUCCUCUGUAGUCCCCGUCUCCUUUGGUGGAGAGCAGAGCCAUAAACAAAACAAGGGAAAUCUUUGUGUUUAGGACUAAAAGAUGGCAUCUGUUUCUGAAGAUGAUGUUCAUCUACCGCUCCUGUUGUCGACCGCGGCAUUGUUGUCGUCUCAGUCACUGUUUUCUAACGACCAGGAAACUAGCAACGAACUUGAGACGAUAUUAUCCGACACCCACUUGAGUUUCGUCCGCCGUUACUCUCAAGCUACUUGGGUCGAAAUGAAACUCAUGUUCUACUUAGCAGGUCCGGCCGUUUUCGUAUACAUGAUUAAUUACCUCAUGUCCAUGUCCACCCAAGUCUUCGCUGGCCACCUUGGAAACCUCGAACUCGCCGCUUCCUCUCUCGGCAACAAUGGAAUUCAAAUCUUCGCCUACGGUCUCAUGUUGGGGAUGGGAAGUGCAGUGGAAACUCUAUGCGGGCAGGCAUUCGGUGCAGAGAAAUACGAUAUGCUAGGCAUUUAUUUACAGAGAUCUACCAUAUUAUUGACUCUAACGGGGUUUGUUUUAACAAUUGUUUACAUAUUCUGCAAACCCAUCUUGAUAUUUUUGGGAGAAUCGAAGGAAAUUGCAUCGGCAGCGGAAGUAUUCGUGUUCGGAUUGAUUCCUCAAAUCUUCGCGUACGCAAUAAACUUCCCAAUACAGAAGUUUCUUCAGGCACAGAGCAUAGUAUUUCCGAGUGCUUACAUAUCGGCGGGGACGCUGGUGGUGCAUGUGGUGCUGAGUUGGGUGGCGGCCUACAAAAUGGGGUUGGGGCUGUUGGGAGUGUCGUUGGUAUUGAGCUUGUCAUGGUGGAUAAUAGUGGUGGGCCAAUUCGUGUAUAUCGUUAAAAGUGAUAAGUGUAAAGAAACAUGGAGAGGUUUCAAUGCGAAGGCGUUUACAGGGUUGCCGGGAUUCUUCAAAUUGUCGGUGGCGUCGGCGGUGAUGCUGUGUUUAGAGACAUGGUAUUUUCAGAUUCUCGUUUUGCUUGCUGGAUUGCUCGAGAAUCCUGAACUUGCUCUUGACUCCCUUUCUAUCUGCACAACCAUAUCUGGAUGGGUUUUAAUGAUUUCAGUUGGAUUCAAUGCUGCCGCAAGUGUGAGAGUGAGUAACGAACUUGGAAGUAAGCAUCCAAAAUCAGCAGCAUUUUCUGUGGUGGUGGUAACUGCCAUUGCAUUCAUCGUCUCUAUAUUUUGUGCGAUAAUAGUACUCGCACUUCGGGAUGUCAUCAGCUACGCCUUUACAGAAGGUCCUAUCGUGGCUGCCGCUGUCUCCGAUCUUUGCCCACUUCUUGCUCUCACUCUUCUCCUCAAUGGAAUCCAACCUGUCUUGUCUGGCGUUGCGGUCGGUUGCGGUUGGCAAGCCUUCGUCGCCUAUGUAAACAUCGGUUGCUAUUAUGUCAUUGGAGUUCCCUUGGGUGCUCUCCUUGGUUUUUAUUUUAAACUUGGCGCAAAGGGCAUAUGGCUGGGGAUGAUCGGUGGAACUUGCAUGCAGACAAUCAUUUUGAUAUGGGUCACUGUUCGAACAGAUUGGAACAAAGAGGUUGAAGAAGCAAUUAAGAGAUUAGGUAAGUGGGAAGACGGACAAGAAAUUACUUUGAAAGAUUGAAUUCCAUUGGUCAAAUAAAUCCUCUCUUCGAAUAGAAAGGAGGAAAAAGAGAGAGAAAAAAGGGUAAUGCGAGGGUUUGUCUCGUCUCCUUCUCACUCAGUUGCCUAGCCGUUCGAAUGCUCUCAGCUCUAUUACCAUUGCUUCUCUCACUCGCCUCCAUCCACCACUCGCCUCAAUCAGCAGCUCGCCUCCAUCCACCGCUUGCCUCCUUCCACCGCUCGCCUUCGUCAGCUGCUCGCCUCCAACCGCCGCUCGCCUUCGUUCAUUCUUCUUCCAUUUCCACUUUACUCUUUAUCAGCUAGAUAAAGAGAAUUUUUCAGAUACCCACUUAGCUUAUUAUUCCGUUCUCUAUUCAAUUAUUUCAAAUUUCUAAGUGGUUUUGGAUAAUAGGGCUGCUUGACUUUUAUGGGCUACUGUUUUUUGGUUUUUUGUGUUAGGGUUUGUGGGUUUGAGUUGUUCCUGAUGAAUACUUUUCAAUCAUUAUUGAUUUCCCUUUUGCCGUGUUUCAUA